rnacentral:rRNA from 1 species
AGCGAACGCUGGCGGCGUGCUUAACACAUGCAAGUCGAGCGAAGGUGUUUCAAGGGUAACCUUGAGAUACACUUAGCGGCGGACGGGUGAGUAAUACGUGGAUAACUUACCUCUAGGCCUGGGAUAACCCCGGGAAACUGGGGCUAAUACCUGAUAAGACCACAUUGUCUACGGACAAAGGGGUAAAAGGUGGCUGUGCAAACAGCUAUCGCCAAAAGAUAGGUUCACGUCCCAUCAGGCAGUUGGUGAGGUAAUGGCUCACCAAACCAAAGACGGGUAGCCGGCCUUGGCGGGUGAACGGCCACACGGGGACUGAGACACGGCCCCGACUCCUACGGGAGGCAGCAGUGGGGAAUAUUGGGCAAUGGGCGCAAGCCUGACCCAGCGACGUCGCGUUGGGGAAGAAGGCC